CCAGCUAGGGCUGGCUUCGGCUUUCGUGCUGACCUAGGCAAACCGUGCCAACUUUCACUGGGACUGCUGCGGCUGCACCCCAUUCAGCUAACCCAGCCUUCCGAGCCUGGGGGUGCGACCGCAUAGUCUCAAAGUGACUAGUGCCCGCUCUAGUUUCAAGACAUUCACUGCUUCUAAGGAACUUGCAGAAUAGCAUUUGGAAGAAACUGUGGGACACACAGCUGUGAUGUAAACCACAUCUCAUCUGAUGUCAAGCGCAACACUGACCAGCCAGCGGCUUCUUGAGUUUACAGACCUUCACGCGGUCAACAAGACAAAAUGAUAGCUACAGAAUCGGAAAAGAUCAUCACUAACCCCACAUCAGACAGAGGUCUGAUCUCCAAAAUAUACAAAGAACUCAAGAAAUUGGACACCAAAAGAACACAUAAUCCAAUUUAAAAAACGGAGUGCAGA